UACGGAGGGUGCAAGCGUUAUCCGGUUCACUGGGUUUAAAGGGUGCGUAGGUGGGUCUGUAAGUCAGUGGUGAAAUCUCCGAGCUUAACUCGGAAACUGCCAUUGAUACUAUAGGUCUUGAAUCAUCUGGAGGUAAGCGGAAUAUGUCAUGUAGCGGUGAAAUGCUUAGAUAUGACAUAGAACACCAAUUGCGAAGGCAGCUUACUACGGAUGUAUUGACACUGAGGCACGAAAGCGUGGGGAUCAAACAGG
rnacentral:rRNA from 1 species